GACGAACCGUGCAAACGUUGUUCGGAAUAACUGGGCUUAAAGGGCGCGUAGGCGGAUUACCAAGUCAGGGGUGAAAUCCUGCGGCUCAACCGUAGAAGUGCCUUUGAUACUGGUAGUCUCGAGGGAGGUAGGGGCGUGCGGAACUUCCGGUGGAGCGGUGAAAUGCGUAGAGAUGGGGGAGAACACUCGUGGCGAAGGCGGCCAGCUAGACCAGUUCUGACACUGAGGCGCGAUAGCGUGGGGAGCAAACAGG
rnacentral:rRNA from 1 species